GACGAACGCUGGCGGCGUGCCUAAUACAUGCAAGUAGAACGCUGAAGGAGGAGCUUGCUUCUCCGGAUGAGUUGCGAACGGGUGAGUAACGCGUAGGUAACCUGCCUGGUAGCGGGGGAUAACUAUUGGAAACGAUAGCUAAUACCGCAUAAGAGUAGAUGUCGCAUGACAUUUGCUUAAAAGGUGCAACUGCACCACUACCAGAUGGACCUGCGUUGUAUUAGCUAGUUGGUGAGGUAGCGGCUCACCAAGGCAACGAUACAUAGCCGACCUGAGAGGGUGAUCGGCCACACUGGGACUGAGACACGGCCCAGACUCCUACGGGAGGCAGCAGUAGGGAAUCUUCGGCAAUGGACGGAAGUCUGACCGAGCAACGCCGCGUGAGUGAAGAAGGUUUUCGGAUCGUAAAGCUCUGUUGUAAGAGAAGAACGAGUGUGAGAGUGGAAAGUUCACACUGUGACGGUAUCUUACCAGAAAGGGACGGCUAACUACGU
rnacentral:rRNA from 1 species